GAUGAACGCUGGCGGCGUGCCUAAUACAUGCAAGUCGAGCGAACGGACGAGAAGCUUGCUUCUCUGAUGUUAGCGGCGGACGGGUGAGUAACACGUGGAUAACCUACCUAUAAGACUGGGAUAACUUCGGGAAACCGUAGCUAAUACCGGAUAAUAUUUUGAACCGCAUGGUUCAAAAGUGAAAGACGGUCUUGCUGUCACUUAUAGAUGGAUCCGCGCUGCAUUAGCUAGUUGGUAAGGUAACGGCUUACCAAGGCAACGAUGCAUAGCCGACCUGAGAGGGUGAUCGGCCACACUGGAACUGAGACACGGUCCAGACUCCUACGGGAGGCAGCAGUAGGGAAUCUUCCGCAAUGGGCGAAAGCCUGACGGAGCAACGCCGCGUGAGUGAUGAAGGUCUUCGGAUCGUAAAACUCUGUUAUUAGGGAAGAACAUAUGUGUAAGUAACUGUGCACAUCUUGACGGUACCUAAUCAGAAAGCCACGGCUAACUACGUGCCAGCAGCCGCGGUAAUACGUAGGUGGCAAGCGUUAUCCGGAAUUAUUGGGCGUAAAGCGCGCGUAGGCGGUUUUUUAAGUCUGAUGUGAAAGCCCACGGCUCAACCGUGGAGGGUCAUUGGAAACUGGAAAACUUGAGUGCAGAAGAGGAAAGUGGAAUUCCAUGUGUAGCGGUGAAAUGCGCAGAGAUAUGGAGGAACACCAGUGGCGAAGGCGACUUUCUGGUCUGCAACUGACGCUGAUGUGCGAAAGCGUGGGGAUCAAACAGGAUUAGAUACCCUGGUAGUCCACGCCGUAAACGAUGAGUGCUAAGUGUUAGGGGGUUUCCGCCCCUUAGUGCUGCAGCUAACGCAUUAAGCACUCCGCCUGGGGAGUACGACCGCAAGGUUGAAACUCAAAGGAAUUGACGGGGACCCGCACAAGCGGUGGAGCAUGUGGUUUAAUUCGAAGCAACGCGAAGAACCUUACCAAAUCUUGACAUCCUUUGACAACUCUAGAGAUAGAGCCUUCCCCUUCGGGGGACAAAGUGACAGGUGGUGCAUGGUUGUCGUCAGCUCGUGUCGUGAGAUGUUGGGUUAAGUCCCGCAACGAGCGCAACCCUUAAGCUUAGUUGCCAUCAUUAAGUUGGGCACUCUAAGUUGACUGCCGGUGACAAACCGGAGGAAGGUGGGGAUGACGUCAAAUCAUCAUGCCCCUUAUGAUUUGGGCUACACACGUGCUACAAUGGACAAUACAAAGGGCAGCGAAACCGCGAGGUCAAGCAAAUCCCAUAAAGUUGUUCUCAGUUCGGAUUGUAGUCUGCAACUCGACUACAUGAAGCUGGAAUCGCUAGUAAUCGUAGAUCAGCAUGCUACGGUGAAUACGUUCCCGGGUCU
rnacentral:rRNA from 1 species